GUGUGUGUGUGUGUGUGUGCGCGUGCGCGCGUGCGCGCGCGCGUGUUUUCUGAUGCUCUUAGGCAACCCCCAAAGGGGAUGUGCCCCACAGGUUGAGAACUGCUGCUCUAGAGACCCCUGACUAAUACAGCCCAGCAUGCCUGUGUUUAUGGAACCAGCCAGUCUUUGAUCAGUUGAAUACAAGUAUGCAAAUCCAGUGGGAAAGGGAACCAAUCAGAGAACAGAUGUCAAACAUGGACACUAAAGAAGCAAAAUGACUAUGUGUUUAUGUCUCAAGCCUGUGAUCCAAGUAGUUAGACAUUGCUGGAGCUGGAGGAGGCCUGUGGAUGGAUUUCUUCAGACAAGGGAGGAGCCAAGAGCAGACACUGAACACUGGAGAGAGUAGAUGAGGAGGCCUGGCAGAGCCUCUGUGCGCCGAGAUACAUGGUGGAAGCCGUAGGCACCUCUUCUUAUGGCCCCUACUUCUAGAAAACGAGCAGAAAGCCCACAAGCUGAGAGUGAGGGACAUACUUUAUAGCAGUUCACUUUGUGUUGCUGUAAUAAGAUACCUGCAGUGGAUGGUGUUAACGUCAACUUGCCACAAGUCAAUAUUAUUACCUGAGUAGGGAGCCACAUCUGAGGAGUUGUCCUGAUUCCUUAACUGAUGUGAAGAGCCACCCCAAGUGUAGGCAGCAUGUCCAGGUAGCAACCCAACUGAAAAGGAGCAUAGCAGAGGGGAGGUUGCUUGCCUUCCAUUCACUUGGUCUUCCUUCUUGCUGUUGAGUUGAUUUAUGCUCCUGGUGCUGCUGCUGCUGAGGAAGAGGAGGAAGAAGAAGAUCGCCAGGAGCCUCUGGGGACCAGAAGAGGAAGAUUCUGGCUCAAAUGUGAUACAUUUGGGCAUCAAGCCGCCAACGGGUAGACUGGUGAAGGUUGAUACCAUCAGCUGGACAGGAUCUAUAAUCACCUAGGUGACCGUGCUCUGGGAAUGUCUAUGAGGGAGUUCCUAGACUGGAUUACAUAAGGUAGAGAAAGACACACCCUGUGAGUCGUGCCUUUCCAUCAGCUAGGAGCCUGCACUGAAUUUGAAGGAGAACGCAGGCCAAGAACUUGUAUUCAGUUCUCUUUGCUCCAUGACCAUGGGUGCAAUGUGACCGUUGCACCUCACAGCUGCCUUGGCUCCUGCUGCUACGUGCUCCCCACCAUCACAGACUAUCCUCCCCAACUGUAGACCAAAAUAAACCCUUCCUUUCUCAAGUGUGUCAUGGAUUUUGUUACAAC
rnacentral:lncRNA from 1 species